rnacentral:rRNA from 1 species
CCAGACUCCUACGGGAGGCAGCAGUGAGGAAUAUUGGUCAAUGGGCGAGAGCCUGAACCAGCCAAGUCGCGUGAAGGAUGACGGCCCUACGGGCUGUAAACUUCUUUUGUCAGGGAGCAAUUGGGUCCACGCGCGGGCUUAGCGAGAGUACCUGUAGAAAAAGCAUCGGCUAACUCCGUGCCAGCAGCCGCGGUAAUACGGAGGAUGCGAGCGUUAUCCGGAUUUAUUGGGUUUAAAGGGUGCGUAGGCGGAAUAUCAAGUCAGCGGUAAAAAUUCGGGGCUCAACCCCGUCGUGCCGUUGAAACUGAUGUUCUUGAGUGGGCGAGAAGUAUGCGGAAUGCGUGGUGUAGCGGUGAAAUGCAUAGAUAUCACGCAGAACUCCGAUUGCGAAGGCAGCGUGCCGUGCCGCCACUGACGCUGAGGCACGAAAGCGCGGGGAUCGAACAGGAUUAGAUACCCUAGUA